rnacentral:lncRNA from 1 species
UGUCUUUCAGUUAAUAUAUUUGUCCUUACAGAGGGGAAUGGAAGUCAAAACCAGAAACACUUUCAAAAAUAGCUUGUUUUGUUUUUUUUUGUUUUGUUUUCUUUUUUGACACUGAGUCUCGCUCUAUCACCCAGGCUGGAGUGCAGUGCAUGAUCACAGCUCACCGCAACUUUCGCCUCCCGGGUCCGAGCAAUUCUCCUGCCUCAGCCUCCCAAGUAGCUGGCACUACAGGCAUGCGCCACCACACCUGCCUAAUUUUUUUGUGUUUUUGUAGAGAUGGGAUUUUGCCACGUUGCUCAGGCUAGGACUCUUAAUUUUAGAAAAUACUGAAGUUAGAUUUUCAGUGAGCCGAGAUCAUGCCACUGCACUCCAGCCUGGGCAACAGUGUGAAACUCCGUCUCAAAAAAAAAAAAAAGAAAGAAAACUGAAACAGACCAUUGGGGAUUGGGCAUCCAAGAGGUCACUAGAGACCUGGGCAGAGGCCAUAUUAGCUGUGUGGUGGGGACACAACUGAAGCAGUUUCAGGAGGGAGUGAGAAGAAAGUAACUGUAGACCAUGAAUUUUGAAAAUUAUUUUGGGGAACUUUGUAUAAAAGAAAGAAGAGAAAUGGGCACAGCUCCUGGAGGAGUCUAAGGGAUCGAGAGAUGGAUUUUGUUUUUUAACAUGUGAACACUGGCAGCAUGUUCGUGAAUGGGAAUGAAAGAGUGAAUCGUGAUACUACGGUGCCAGUUCAUUCUGGCUGCUGUAACAAAACACCACAGGUUUGGUGGCUUAGAAACAACAGACACAGCCAGGUGUGGUGGCCCACUCUUGUAAUCCCAGCACUUUGGGAGGCCGAGGUGGGCAGAUCACGUGAGCUCAGGAGUUCAAGACCAGCCUGGGCAACAUUGUGAAACCCCAACUCUACAAAAAUACAAAAAUUCAUCGGGUGCGGUGGCAGGUGCCUGUAAUCCCAGCUACUCAGGAGGCUGAGGCAGGAGAAUUGCUUGAGCCAGGGAGUGGGAGGUUGUAGGGAGGUGAGAUUGCGCCAUUACACUCCAGCCUGGGUGACGGGAAUGAAACCCUGUCUUAAAAAAAAAAAACUUUGGGAGGCAAGGCAGGUGGAUCAGGAUGUCAGGAGUUCAAGACCAGCCUGACCAACACGGCGAAACCCCAUCUCUAAUAAAAAUACAAAAUAAAAUUAGCUGGGCAUGGUGGCACACGCCUGUAAUCCCAGCUACUCAGGAGGCUGAGGCAGGAGAAUCACUUGAACCCAGGAGGUGGAGGUUGCAGUGAGCCGAGAUCGUGCCACUGCACUCCAGCCUGGGCAACAGAGCGAGACCCUGUCUCAAAAAAAGAAAAAGAAAAAGAAACAAAGAAACAACAGACAUUGGUUUCUCACAGUUCUGGAGGCUGGGAAGUCCCAGAUCAAGGCAUCAGCAGCUUUGGUGGCUGGCGAGGGUUCACUUUCUGGUUCAACAGAGGGUGCCUUCUUUGUUGUGUCCUCACAGGGUGGAAGGAGUGAGACAGCUCUCUGUGACUUCUACUGUAAGGGUGCUAUUCCCAGUCAUGGGGGUUCCACCCUCAAGACCGCAUCACCUCCUAAAGGCCCCAACUCCUAAUAUCCUCACCUUUGGGGUUAGGAUUUCAAUACUUGAAUAUGGGGUUGGGGGACACCAGCAUUCAGACCAGAGCAUGCAGGAAAGGGAGAGGGAAUUGUCAGGAAAGUCCUUGAGUUGGCCUAAGAGGAUGGAAGCUGGGACACAGGCCAGCCUUGGCAUGGACGGUUCAAUUUCCAGCAAGAGACAGAGAAAGGAGGUGUGAUUGCUGGUAGACAGGAGGGUGUGGAUACUGUCUUUUAACUGCUUGUAUUUUGUUUGUGAAGGAGGCAAACAAGGUCAUUCUGGGAGAGCAAGGCUGGGGUAGAAUACAUUGAGAUAUUUACAGAGCUAGAGAAAUAUAUGAGAAAGUCACCAAGCAGGAUGGGAGAAAUAGACUAGGAAAAUGAAUAGCAUAUUUUUAAUAAAAUUUACUAGAAAUGGAAUUGCUGGGUGUAUUUAUUAUAUUUUCUUAUUUUCCGUAUUCCUGAUGCUCUGGCAUUUGGGGCCUUAAUCCUGGAGACCUCCCUUCCCAGGGCUAGCUAUUUCCUAGAGACAGCGAAUAACUCCCCUACAAGCACAUCUUUGAAAUACAAACCAACCAAUCCACAGCCCACACCCCAACCAUCUCCUUUUCAAACUCACACAAUAAGCCAAUCUCUCCCUGCCUGCCCUAAAUCACCCCAGGGCCAAAUACUGGACAACUAGAAACCAUCCCUAUGAUUUACCAAAACUAUUCAAAUCUAUAUUUGCUCAGAGUACCUGCCAUGCCUCACCCAUUCCUUCCCUCAGAAACCCCAGUAGAGGCGGGGACCUUGCUCACCCUCACUCCCUGUGCUUCCUGAGGUUACUGGUGUACCCGUGUGUGGUGGGCCAUGUCUCCUGUUUCCAGGAAUCUAUAAGUAUAAACUUUUUCCUUCAUGAAGAUCAUUUGCAUGUCUGGGAGUCUUGCCAUAACUGAUUAAAAUAAAUCCCCCAGGUAUAUUUCAACACUCUAGGUUAAAAAGUAAUUGCCAGCCGGUUGCGGUGGCUCAUGCCUGUAGUCCCAGCACUUUGGGAGGCCGAGGUGUGCGGAUCACAAGGUCAGGAGUUCAAGACCAGCCUGGCCAACAUGGUGAAACCCCAUCUCCACUAAAAAUGCAAAAAUUAGCCGGGUGUGGUGGUGCACACCUGCAAUCCCAGCUGCUUGGGAGGCUGAGGCAGGAGAAUCACUUGAGCCCAGGAGGUGGAGGUUGCAGUGAGCCGCGAUGGCGCCAUUGCACUCCAGCCUGGGUGACAGAGUGAGACUCUGUCUUAAAAAAAAACAGAAAAAAAAAAAAAAAAAAAAAAAAAAAAAACCAAGAAAAAAAACAAAGUAAGCACCUUGGCCAGGCAUGGUGGCUCAUGUCUGUAAUCCCAGCACUUUGGGAGGCCGAGCCGGGUGGAUCACCUGAGCCCCCCAAAGUGUUGGGAUUACAGGCAUGAGCCUGUACUGCACCCGGACCAUCAACUUUAUUAGAUAAACAAUUUUGUCCCGUCUCUAUCCUACCUACAACUGGGACCUGAAGCUCAGGGGUGGCAGAGGUCUCAGUGACCUUCUAGCACCAGCACACAAAACGAGCUAGUGUCAAAAGAAGGACCAGUGUGCAGGCCUUUGAUACCCCAGCCAGGACUCAAGCUCUGUGCUUUGGUGAUGGUGGUGUCAAUGGGCAGGUGAAACAGUCAUAGCUGAGCUUUAGGAAGAUUGAUAAUGUGUUUGGCGUGGAUGGAUGUAUUCAUCACGUUUUUUAUUUUCUGUAUUUCCUGAUACUUUGACAUCUUGGGGCCUUAACUGACCCUUGAAGAGACUGCCCUCCCAGGUCCAGCCAAUUCCUGAAGAUAGUAAACCCUGGCCUGCAAGUGCACCUUUCAUGUGCAAGCCGACACACCCAAAGCCUACACCCCAACAAUCUCUAUGGAGCCCUCAUGCUCCAGGCCACCAUCCCCUGCCCCCAACCACCCCAGGGCCAGGUCCCAGACAACCAGGGACAUACCCCAUGCCCCACAGCCACCAAAUCACUCAAGCUGAUCCCAAGCCCGCCUUCCCUACCUGCCUUCCUGUAAAAACCAGAAUAAAGUUGUUUUUUUUAAAAAAGACAGCCUCGCUCUGUUGCCCAGGCUAGAGUGCAGCGACCCAAUCUCAGCUCACUGCAACCUCCACCUCCCAGGUUCAUGCGAUUCUCCCGCCUCAGCCUCCCAAAUAGCUGGGAUUACAGGUGCCCACCACCACUCCUGGCUAAUUUUUGUAUUUUUAGUAGAGAUGGGGUUUCACCAUGUUAGCCAAGCUGGUCUCGAACUCGUGACCUCAAGUGAUUCAUCCACCUCGGCCUUCCUAAGUGCUGGGAUUACAGGGAUGAGCCACCGCACCCGGCCCAGAAUAAAGGCUUUUGCUCACACUUUCCUGGCUCCCUUUGCCUUCUGAUAGACCCUGGUGCUUCCUUGUGUGGACUCCUGCUUCUAGGGACCCGUGAGUAUCAGGCUUCUUCCUUCAUGACAGUCAUUUCUGUGUCUGCAUGUCUCACUCAGCAUAUGUGAUUAAAUAAAAUGCUGGCUACAUGUGAAAGCAGUGGAGAUGGGUAGGUGGUGGGGGAGCUGACUCAGAAGCCGCCCUGUUGCAGGCACUUAGCAAAUGUGCAGAGGAGAAGGAAGGAUGCUCUGGGGCGGGAGCAGCAGCAGGACACAAGGUGCCUUCUGCUUUGGAGGACUCUGAAGCGAGAGGUGUUGAGGAGGUUCCAGGACAAGCCACAGUGGGGAGAGUUGCUAGAAAGGCUGCUGACAGGGCCGCUGUGUGUGCCCAUGCAUUUUGUGUGUUCCACAAAGAGAUCUCAGACACAGCCUGUGCUCUACUCACUACAACAUCAGCCCGUGGAGUUGAGCCACCUUCUCACCUGCCCCAAGCGGUGUCACUGCGCAUCCCCCUCCAGAGGGGGCACCUUGUCUAACACACAUGAAGGCACCACGUGUGCAGGCUCCUUGGUGACCAGCCAGCACCCUCUGGAGCCACACAUCACGACAGCUUCAGGAAUGUUGCGGGUCCACCCGCCCUCCCAGAUCCC